AGACAGGCUGACCUGACCCGGAACUGAUCAGGGAUCAGAAAGACUCUUAACUAGUGAAAAUCUCCCCUUUUUUCAAUUCACACAUCUACAGCCAUGUUGAACCUUAGCAUUACAUCUCCAUGCACAGUUUAUUUCUCCUGAAUCUCCUACAUGUUUAUUAGGCAUGUUUAUUAGCAUCCCUUGCUUAUGACUUUGACUUGGUUGAUGUGGGAGAUGGGACCAUGGAGGGUACCAUGGUUUUUUAUCUCACUGUACUCUUUAGAGGAGCUGAGUUUGUCAUCACAGUGACUGGAAGCCAAGGUCUUAAAUAAUACAGAUUCAGGGCUGGAGGCUCACAGAGGAUGGAGCUGUGGUAGUGAUCAGAGCUCCUGAUGGCUGAGUCCACAGCAGAACUCUGGGAUCUCUGAAGCAUGAAGGGAACAUGAGAAAAAUCCUCCCAGGAAGCAUUCUAUCACCAAGAGACAACACAUUGAUCAUGGACUCUGAGCAGCUGAUUGCUCAAUUCUGAAUGCAGUGGGUACUUUAAUAGAUUCCUUUUCUGCUGGGAAGUCUGAGAUCCUGGAUUCUGAAUGCUGGCCACAAAGAAAAGGGAUAAAGAUCUCUCCACGCAAAUCACAGGUCCUGAGCAGGAAGAGAAACUCGAGCCUUAUAUUUAUGACAUAGUUCUGUGGUCACAGCAAGAAAGUGCUGGUGGAGGCACAGCAGAGAGUGAUGAGGGAUGGGGCUUUCCUAGAGGCUCAUGGGAAUAGUAGUUUCUCAUUUAGUGGCCAGCAGCUGUAAGGAGUAGAGAGGAAAGUUGACUUGCCCAGCACAGAGCAGGAGUGGGAAUACAUCCAGGCCUGACUUCUAGGUUCAUGUACCCUCUAAACAGUGAGAGCAACAGACUACCAACAGAAACUUUCAAAACUUGCUUUUCCUCGGCUGGCCAUCCAGGUUUCUAACACCAAAGGAAA
rnacentral:lncRNA from 1 species